GUACACUCCUGCGGGAGGCAGCAGUGGGGAAUAUUGGACAAUGGGCGCAAGCCUGAUCCAGCCAUGCCGCGUGAGUGAUGAAGGCCCUAGGGUUGUAAAGCUCUUUCACCGGUGAAGAUAAUGACGGUAACCGGAGAAGAAGCCCCGGCUAACUUCGUGCCAGCAGCCGCGGUAAUACGAAGGGGGCUAGCGUUGUUCGGAUUUACUGGGCGUAAAGCGCACGUAGGCGGACUAUUAAGUCAGGGGUGAAAUCCCGGGGCUCAACCCCGGAACUGCCUUUGAUACUGGUAGUCUUGAGUUCGAGAGAGGUGAGUGGAAUUCCGAGUGUAGAGGUGAAAUUCGUAGAUAUUCGGAGGAACACCAGUGGCGAAGGCGGCUCACUGGCUCGAUACUGACGCUGAGGUGCGAAAGCGUGGGGAGCAAACAGGAUUAGAUACCCGUGUAGUCCCAUGA
rnacentral:rRNA from 1 species